rnacentral:tRNA from 2 species
GCGGAUAUGGCGGAACUGGCAGACGCACUAGAUUCAGGUUCUAGCGGGAAACCAUGCAGGUUCAAAUCCUGUUAUCCGCACCA